GGUCACAGUACCUCCCACAGCCUCUUGUUUCCUGUUCUAGAAGAGGUCAGGCAAAUGUUUGUGGAGAAUUUAGAGGUCUCAGUGAUGGAGGAAUUUCCUUAUGAGCAGCGGCUUCCAUUUCUUGUACGCUGGGCCAUUCACCAAAGUGACUAUAUUCAGAGACAGAGAAGAAAAGCUGAAGUCUGUGUUUGUCUGCUUUGACCCACCCAGAAUCCAAAUCUUAGGCUUUGCUAAGUAAAAUUUGUUUAUAUGGAAGAUCAAUUAAUAUACUGUAUCUGUUUGGGAGUUCUUGCUCCUCUGAGUCCUGAGAACAAAUCAAGAUAAAUUCACCAGAGUUUGCAGUGGUAUGCAUGCAAUUAAAUCUUGCAACUUCCUUACCACCAGAUGGCACUGGUACAUAAUGGACAUCCUUGUCUUCCUACUAUUCGUGUUCAAGAUCUGCAGGUUGGACCUAGCUCUUAGGAAUGGACACACCGACAACCAGAUUGUCACCUAUAAAUAAACUGGGAUUCAAAGUGGAUCUGUCGAUUUUCUGAAAGAAAGGUCAACUUAAGAAAAUGCACAACAUGGAAGUUGCUAGUUAAGUUUUAUUUUGGGCAAAAUGAGGACUGCAGCCUGGAAGACUGCACUUCAGAUAGCUCUGAGAAACUGCUUCAAAGAGACAGAUGGAGGAAGGAGACCUGGGUUGGGAAGAUCCCCCAGAGAAGGAAAUGGCAACUCACUCCAGUAUUCUUGCCCGGAGAAUUCCAUGGACAGAGGAGCCAGGCGGACUACAAACCGUGGGGUCGCAAGAGUCGGACAUGAUUUAGCCACUAAACCAACCAACCAUAAACACAAACAAAGAUUCCCCUUGAAAGUU